GUUUUAAUUUAGGUAUUGUGUAUUCUGAACAUGCUAGUAGCUGUCACUGUGCUGCGUUUGUUGAUCCAGUUUGCUCUACAACUAAUGUGACUCAUAAUAACGAAGGUUGCAUGAUGUGCACGUAAGUUUCUUAACAAAACAGAAAAAAAUACUAAUCCUUAACAUUUUUUAUUAGAUAAGAAUUAACACGAACCCCGUGGUUAGAGCAACGUAUAUUUUAAUGCAUGCAAGUGAUAAUUGAAUGCUACAUGAUUGUUGGUAAUUAUUGAAUACAGUACUACGCUGGUGAUAAUUGAACAUUGAAUAAAGAAAUUUCUCUUAAAAGUAAUAUACAAAUAUAUAUAAAUCUAGACAUCAAUGUUGAAUGGAACAUUGGAUCGAUCUAGUUAAGAUCAUAGAAAUCUGGUUGUCAACAACAUUAUACAUUCACGCAACUUCAUAGAAAAAGUUGCACAGCUUUAGCCGCAAAGGGAUCUCAUAUUGGAAAUUACAUUGUCUAUUUAUACAGAAUUGCAACCUAUAAACUGAAUCACUUUAAUACUAGUAACUGAAUAUUGCAUGCUUCUGAUAAGGAUCAUGCCUAAUAAUUGGUGUUCCCUGUCGGGGAACACGGUUUCGCUAAUGUGAUUUAAUAAGGGCUGUUUUCGUAACCUUGAUUUGUCUCUACCUUCAUUUCAUUUAUGAGAUUUGAAGAUUGCAUGGUUGAUUACUAUUGCUGAAAAUUCAAAACGUUUAUGAACGCUAAAUCAAACGCAAGUCAUUUUAUGGCAAAUUUUACUCAGCAAUAAAAUCUAUUUUAACAUGAGUUAAAAAUAAAUACCUCCCACCCCCACCACAACAAUAUCAUCUUUAAUAUUAGUAUCAUAAGCCCUCUUUCCAUCUUCAUUCAAAACAUUUUCCGAAAAAAUUUGCUUACUAUUCAAACGCUAAUAUUCGCGACUGGCUGCUUUCCGGCAAACCAUUUUAAGAUUGACAAAUAUGUUUGGAUGGUCACAUUGAUAAUGAAAUAAGAAAUAUCACUAAUAAAUAUUUUAUUGUUUAUCUGUUGUUUAUGGGUUAAAAAAACAUGCGCAUUAUUAUGCCAUGUUUGUGCAUUACUCUGUUUGUAAAUACAACUUAUAAAACAUAAGGUACUAUAUAUAUCGCAGAGUUUAUUUUAAGCUGGUUCAUUAAAAUUGAGAAGGAAAUGGGGAAUGUGUCAAAGUGACAACAACCCGACAAAGAGUUAACACAGCCGAAGUCCACCAAUGGGUCUUCAACACAUCAAGAAUAUAUCGCGGCCUGAAGCAGACUUUAGCUGGCCCUAAACAAAAAUGUGUAUUUGUUCAGUGAAAAUGCCGUGAUACUUUAAAACUUGUAAAACAUAUAAAUGAACCAAUGUUUUUAAAAAAAUAAAGAUAAGACUUACAUUGUCUCUCUCUUUGUAGUUGUUACAUGUUUCAUAUCACAUAACAAUUCAUAAACCUAUUGAACGUACUGCUGCAGUCACUAAUCUUUUGAAAAAAAUCAAACUGCUGAGGUUAAUAUCAGUGCAUAACUACGUUAUGUUCUCAGUAUUAUUACAAUUUAACGUAAAAAUAAAUUUGAAUCGGAAUCGUUAGAGAAAGGAUUUGUAGUAUCAUUAUCUAAAGACAACAAUGUAUGUUAUAAAAAUCAACAGUAUUUUUUUUCAAAACAUUUUCAAUGACCGUUUGGGAAGAACGAUAUCCAUAACAGAAGUGGAACAGUUAUAUUUGUUAUUUCAGUCACCAAGUUUUAGAUUGCCGUCGUGCUUGUCCAUGUGUGGGUGGACCACCAACAACAGUAAGUUUAAAUAAUUAUCGUGAAAUAUGUAUUAAAAUAAAAGAUAACAAGUAUUGAAUAAGUCACCCACGUUCUUAAUAUCGGGGAAUUAUAAUAGAACACAAUAGAAAAGCAAUGAACCCACACGGAGGGUAAAGUUCUCCGAAUAGCGCAGCACUUAAACCAAUAUCAAUUUCACUCAAAACAGAUAGUGGCAAAUCUACAUUAAUUUCAUUUGUAAAGGGAAAUGGGGAAUGUGUCAAAAAGACAACAACCCGACCAAAGAGAAAACCGGAGGUGGACUUAUGCUGGCCCCUAAACAAAAAAUGUAUUUGUUCAGUGAAAAUACCGUCAUACUUAACUUCUAAAACAUAUAAAGGAGCUACAAUUAAAAAUAGUAUAAGACCAUCAUUGUCUCUCUUUUUAAAUUUGUUACAUGUUUCAUAUCACACAACAUACACCUAUUGAACGUCAUGCGGUAGUCACUAAUAGUUUGAAGAAAAUAACUGCUGAGGUUAAUAGCAGUGAAUAACUACAUUAUGUUUUCAGUAUUAUUACAGUUAAAAGUAAAAAUAAAUUGAAAUUGUUGGAGAAAGGAUGCGUAGCAGGUCAUUAACUAAAGGCAACAAUGUAUGUAAUAAAGAUCAACAGCAUUUUUUUUCAAAACAUUUUCAAUGACCGUUUUGGAAGAAACGAUUUCCAUGACAAACGUGGAACAGUUAUAAAUGUUAUAUUUGUUAUUUCAGACACCAAGCUUUACUUUGCCACCGUUGUGAGUGUCCAUACAACGACAGUAAAAAGUGUUAAAAACAGUAAUGAAAGAUAUAUUUAGAUAAUUGCAGUGAAAGAUAUAUUUUAAUCAAAGAUAACAGGAACCAAACAAAUUGUGUUAAAAACGUAACCUGAGAAGUUCAAUAAAACACAAUUGAAAAACAAAUAACCAACAUAAGGAAUAGUUCUCCAAAUAGCGCAGCACUAAAAUCGGUAUGAAUUUCACUCAAAACAGAUUAGUGACAAAUCAACAUUGAGUUUAUUUGUAAAAGGAAAUGGGGAAUGUUUUUAAAAGAAAACGUAUAAGAUAUCUUUGGCACAAUUUAAAAUAUAAACAGCACACACUUAAACCUAUUCCUUUGUCCAAUAUGAACUUUACUGAAAACCGGAAGUGAUAAAUCUACGUCAUUAUGGUAAUCUGACAGAUAAAAAUGACAGAAAUAGUAAAAUUAUAUCUGAAUCUUACUCAAAUGAUGAUUUUUAACAAAAACAAAACAUUUGUGUACUUCAAAGUUAUUGAUUAUUUCUGCAAAAAUCGAAAUUAAAACUGAAAAACGAAAACGAAAAUUGACACAAUAUACUUUAAACAAAAAUUCCUCUCAAUUGAGCACCUGCAACAUGGAGGAUGCGAACUCACAACCUCAAUGUUAACAGGUUAUUGAUACAGUAAUUCGACUACUAUAACCAUACACCAUGCACCGAGGCCCCGGUGUGAAUUGACUACGGAAAACAUAAUAGACAAUGAUGUUUCUUCUCUAAAUAAUGUGAGGUUUUAUGUAAGAAAAAAGUAAAAUCAUAAUAAUACUGAACUCCGAGGAAAAUUCAUAAAGGAAAGUCCCAAUUCAAAUAGCAAAAUCAAAAGCUCAUACACAUCAAACAAAUGGAUAACAACUGUCAUAUUCCUGACUUGGUACUGGCAUUUUCUUAUGUAGAAAAUGGUGGAUUGAACCUGGUUUUAUAGCGAUCUUAACCACUCGCUGGUAUGACAGUCGCAACAAAUUCCAUUCUUUUGAUAACGAUGUGUGAACAAAACAAACAGACAGUAUAGGUAAAAAAAGUAAAAAAAAUAGAUGUACAGCAGUCAACAUUGUGUAAUUAUCUUAAUCACUAUUAAAACGAACAAACAUUUUUUUCAGAUGCAAAAAGACUUCAACCCUUGUUUUGGAGAGGUGUUAAUAGUAUCGAUUUUAUUUUCACUUUAAGCAGCAAUUAUUCAUUCUUCCAACCAACACUUUAAUAUUCCUUGUUUAAUGUUAUUUCCUCUAGACUAAUUCAUUUUACAUUAUUUAUUUCAGCACGGGAAAGUGAGAUGGAAUAACAUAUUUGAAAUAUAUUACAAAAGCAAAGAAUAAAAGAUUUUCACAUUAUUAGUGUUGAAUAUUAUUAUGCGAAAACUUAUCAUUAACAAACAACAUUGUUAGCUACAUCAUUCCAUAAGAAAACCUAUACAAGAUACUGAAUAUUGAGCAUAUUGCAAAAGAACAGAAACAUGAACUGACAUUGCCACAUUUUGUCUCAGAUACUAGUCUGAAGCCAGCCAUAUGUGUUCAUUUUAACAUAACAUAAUGCAAACCUUAUAUUAUCCAUAGUAUUUUUGAUAUCAAUUUCACCGAGAUACAUUAUUUGUCCUUGUUGAAAUGUGUUAAAAUGACAGGUGUCACAUGUGCAGCGGAUCUGCUCAACCUUUCAAGAGCACAUGAAAUCUCCCACCAAUUAGUUUUUUUUUCAAUGUUGUGUUUUGUUGAAUGUUGUUUAUUUUUUCGCUGUUUUUUUCACUGGUAUUUAAAAGUUUGUAUUUGAGUGAUGAGUUUGAAUAUCAUUUGGGUAUCUGUUGCAUCUGUUUUAUUGAUCAUUAGAAAUUAUAAACAUACCUAAAGUUUUGUAUUAUUUUAAACCAAAUUUUAUUUGUUGCCAGAGACAAACU
rnacentral:lncRNA from 1 species